GUGAGGAAUUUUCCGCAAUGGGCGAAAGCCUGACGGAGCAAUGCCGCGUGAAGGAUGAAGGCCUAUGGGUUGUAAACUUCUUUUCUCAGAAAAGAAUUAUGACGGUAUCUGAGGAAUAAGCAUCGGCUAACUCUGUGUCAGCAGCCGCGGUAAGACAGAGGAUGCAAGCGUUAUCCGAAAUGAUUGGGCGUAAAGCGUCUGUAGGUUGUUUAAAAAGUAUUCUGUCAAAGAUUAGGGCUUAACCCUAGAUAGGCAGAAUAAACUUUUAAGCUAGAGUUUGGUAGAGGCAGAGGGAAUUCCCGGUGGAGCGGUGAAAUGCGUAGAUAUCGGGAGGAACACCAAAGGCGAAGGCACUCUGCUGGGCCAAUACUAACACUGAGAGACGAAAGCGAGGGGAGCAAAUGGGAUUAGAAACCCGGGUAGUCC
rnacentral:rRNA from 1 species